CCUACGGGUGGCAGCAGUGAGGAAUAUUGGUCAAUGGGCGCUAGUCUGAACCAGCCAAGUAGCGUGAAGGAUGACUGCCCUAUGGGUUGUAAACUUCUUUUAUAUGGGAAUAAAGUGCAGUAUGUAUACUGCUUUGCAUGUACUUUAUGAAUAAGGAUCGACUAACUCCGUGCCAGCAGCCGCGGUAAUACGGAGGAUCCGAGCGUUAUCCGGAUUUAUUGGGUUUAAAGGGGGCGUAGGCGGGUUGUUAAGUCAGUUGUGAAAGUUUGCGGCUCAACCGUAGAAUUGCAGUUGAUACUGGCAUCCUUGAGAACAGUAGAGGUAGGCGGAAUGCGUGGUGUAGCGGUGAAAUGCUUAGAGAUCACGAAGAACGCCGAUUGCGAAGGCAGCCUGCUGGACUGUAACUGACGCUGAGGCACGAAAGUGUGGGUAUCAAACAGGAUUAGAUACCCGGGUAGUC
rnacentral:rRNA from 1 species